rnacentral:rRNA from 1 species
GAUGAACGCUGGCGGCGUGCUUAACACAUGCAAGUCGAACGAGAAAUGGAGACGGAAACCUUCAGGCGGAAGGCUUCAUUUCGAGUGGCGGACGGGUGAGUAACGCGUGGGUAACCUGCCUCAUACAGGGGGAUAACAGUUGGAAACGACUGUUAAUACCGCAUAAGACCACAGCACCGCAUGGUGCGGGGGUAAAAACUCCGGUGGUAUGAGAUGGACCCGCGUUCGAUUAGCCAGUUGGCGGGGUAACGGCCCACCAAAGCGACGAUCGAUAGCCGAUCUGAGAGGAUGACCGGCCACAUUGGGACUGAGACACGGCCCAAACUCCUACGGGAGGCAGCAGUGGGGAAUAUUGCACAAUGGGGGAAACCCUGAUGCAGCGACGCCGCGUGAGUGAAGAAGUACUUCGGUAUGUAAAGCUCUAUCAGCAGGGAAGAAAAUGACGGUACCUGAGUAAGAAGCCCCGGCUAACUACGUG